UACAGAGGUCUCAAGCGUUGUUCGGAUUCAUUGGGCGUAAAGGGUGUGUAGGUGGCGCCGUAAGUCGGGUGUGAAAUUUCGGAGCUUAACUCCGAAACUGCAUUCGAUACUGCGGUGCUUGAGGACUGGAGAGGAGACUGGAAUUCAUGGUGUAGCAGUGAAAUGCGUAGAGAUCAUGAGGAAGACCAGUGGCGAAGGCGGGUCUCUGGACAGUCACUGACACUGAGACACGAAGGCCAGGGGAGCAAACGGG
rnacentral:rRNA from 1 species